rnacentral:rRNA from 1 species
CCUGCCCAAGAGACUGGGAUAACACCUGGAAACAGAUGCUAAUACCGGAUAACAACACUAGACGCAUGUCUAGAGUUUGAAAGAUGGUUCUGCUAUCACUCUUGGAUGGACCUGCGGUGCAUUAGCUAGUUGGUAAGGUAACGGCUUACCAAGGCAAUGAUGCAUAGCCGAGUUGAGAGACUGAUCGGCCACAUUGGGACUGAGACACGGCCCAAACUCCUACGGGAGGCAGCAGUAGGGAAUCUUCCACAAUGGACGAAAGUCUGAUGGAGCAACGCCGCGUGAGUGAAGAAGGGUUUCGGCUCGUAAAGCUCUGUUGGUAGUGAAGAAAGAUAGAGGUAGUAACUGGCCUUUAUUUGACGGUAAUUACUUAGAAAGUCACGGCUAACUACGUGCCAGCAGCCGCGGUAAUACGUAGGUGGCAAGCGUUGUCCGGAUUUAUUGGGCGUAAAGCGAGUGCAGGCGGUUCAAUAAGUCUGAUGUGAAAGCCUUCGGCUCAACCGGAGAAUUGCAUCAGAAACUGUUGAACUUGAGUGCAGAAGAGGAGAGUGGAACUCCAUGUGUAGCGGUGGAAUGCGUAGAUAUAUGGAAGAACACCAGUGGCGAAGGCGGCUCUCUGGUCUGCAACUGACGCUGAGGCUCGAAAGCAUGGGUAGCGAACAGGAUUAGAUACCCUGGUAGUCCAUGCCGU